rnacentral:rRNA from 1 species
CGUGCCUAAUACAUGCAAGUCGAGCGAGCUUGCCUAGAUGAUUUUAGUGCUUGCACUAAAUGAAACUAGAUACAAGCGAGCGGCGGACGGGUGAGUAACACGUGGGUAACCUGCCCAAGAGACUGGGAUAACACCUGGAAACAGAUGCUAAUACCGGAUAACAACACUAGACGCAUGUCUAGAGUUUGAAAGAUGGUUCUGCUAUCACUCUUGGAUGGACCUGCGGUGCAUUAGCUAGUUGGUAAGGUAACGGCUUACCAAGGCAAUGAUGCAUAGCCGAGUUGAGAGACUGAUCGGCCACAUUGGGACUGAGACACGGCCCAAACUCCUACGGGAGGCAGCAGUAGGGAAUCUUCCACAAUGGACGAAAGUCUGAUGGAGCAACGCCGCGUGAGUGAAGAAGGGUUUCGGCUCGUAAAGCUCUGUUGGUAGUGAAGAAAGAUAGAGGUAGUAACUGGCCUUUAUUUGACGGUAAUUACUUAGAAAGUCACGGCUAACUACGUGCCAGCAGCCGCGGUAAUACGUAGGUGGCAAGCGUUGUCCGGAUUAAUUGGGCGUAAAGCGAGUGCAGGCGGUUCAAUAAGUCUGAUGUGAAAGCCUUCGGCUCAACCGGAGAAUUGCAUC